rfam:Rattus norvegicus chromosome 17, whole genome shotgun sequence.
UGGCUCAGAGGUUAAGAGCACUAGACUGCUCUUCCAGAGGUCCUGAGUUCAAUUCCCAG